ensembl:lncRNA
AACUCUACUGCGCCUGCGUCUCCUCCCAAGCAUCCUGCGCCUACUGGCAGGGCUACUGGGCAUGCAGUAACUGAGGGACAGCCCGCCCAGGAGAAGAACGAAGAGCAGAGACAGAGAGCCUGGAAAAGGAUUUCCCAUUUUGGCUACACUUCACAUGCAGCACAUUAUAUGGAAGUACACGGCAGUUCCCCCCUUAUCUGCAAAGGACAUGUUCAGAGAUCUCCAGUGGAUGACUGAAACCAUGGAGAGUACUAAAUCCUAUAUAUACAGUGUUUUUUUCCCUAUACAUAUAUAUGAUAAAGUUUAUACAUUAGGCACGGUAAGAGAUUAACAACUCAUAAUAAAAUAUGAGUUAAACUCAUAUGCAAUAUAAUAUAUGCAAUAAAAUUGAAAUACGGUCAAACUCUGUAAAGUAUUUGAAGAGAUUUGUUCUGAGCCAAAUGUGGGUGACCAUGGCCUGUGACACAGCCGAAGAAGAUUCUGAGAACAUGUGCCCAAGGUGGUGGUGGUCGGGGGGAGGCUUCCAGGUCAUAGGUGGAUUCCAAUAUUUUCUGGCUGGCAAUUGGUUGAAAGUUUAUCUAAAGACUUGAAAUCAGUAGAAGGGAGUGUGUGGGUUAAGAUAAGGUGUUGUGGAGACCAAGGGUCUUAUUCUGCAGAUGAAGCCUCCAGGCUUCAGAGGGUAUCUAUUGUAAAUGUCUCUUAUCAGACUCUCCUGGAUCAGGAGAAAGACCCAGAAAGGGAAGGAGAUUCUCUACAAAAUGUAGAUUUUCCCCACGAGAUGCAGCUUUGCAGGGCCAUUUCAAAAUAUGUCAAAGAAAUAUAUUUGGGGGUAAAAUACUUCAAUUUCUUUCAGGGCCUAUCGUCUGUUAUGUUGGUAGCUUAUUGCUAGAUAGAGUCUGUUUUGUCAGUGUUAAGGUCUGUUUUAAUGUAAUUGCUGGUCAGCUGUGCCUGAAUUCCAAAGGGAGGAAGGUAGAAUGAGGCAUGUCUGAGCCUCUCCUCCCUAUUUCACAUCGCGGCCUGAACUAGUGUUUCAGGUUUACUUUAGAAUGCCUUUGGCUGAGAGGAGGGGUCCGUUUGGUUGGGACACUUAGAAUUUUAUUUUUGGGCCAGGCACAGUGGCUCACGCCUGUAAUCCCAACACUUUGGGAGGCCGAGGCGGGCGGAUCACCUGAGGUUGGGAGUUCAAGACCAGCCUGACCAACAUGGAGAAACCCUGUCUCUACUAAAAACACAAAAUUAUCCGGGCGUGGUGGCGCAUGCCUGUAAUCCCAGCUACUCAGGAGGCUAAGGCAGGGAAUCGCUUGAACCCAGGGCCAUUGCACUGCAGCCUGGGCAACAAGAGUGAAACUGUAUCUCAAAAAAAAAAAAAA